rnacentral:rRNA from 1 species
UGGGGAAUAUUGGACAAUGGGCGCAAGCCUGAUCCAGCAACGCCGCGUGGAGGAUGAAGGUCUUCGGAUCGUAAACUCCUGUCAGAGGGGACGAAGGCUUGGGGGCAAAUAGUCUUCAAGCUUGACGGUACCUUCAGAGGAAGCCCCGGCUAACUCCGUGCCAGCAGCCGCGGUAAUACGGAGGGGCGAGCGUUAUUCGGAAUUAUUGGGCGUAAAGGGCGCGUAGGGCGGGCCCGGGUAAGUCAAAGGUGAAAUCCCUCGGCUCAACUGAGGAACUGCCUUUGAAACUGUCGGGCUUGAGGCCGGGAGGGGGUAGCGGAAUUCCCAGUGUAGCGGUGAAAUGCGUAGAUAUUGGGAGGAACACCAGUGGCGAAGGCGGCUACCUGGACCGGUUCUGACGCUGAUGCGCGAAAGCGUGGGUAGCAAACAGGAUUAGAUACCCUGGUAGUCCACGCUGUAAACGAUGGGUGCUCGGUGUCGCGGGUAUCGACCCCUGCGGUGCCUUAGCUAACGCGUUAAGCACCCCGCCUGGGGAGUACGGUC